GCUUGUUUUGUGCUGUCGCAGUGCGACGAUCUGUGGCCACGUCGCCAUUCGGCGAAGCUGCAGAAGCUGCUCGACGCAUGAGAAUGGCACGCAGCAGCACAACUGGCGUCAUUGAGGAGGUAAUGUAUGUGCCCCGACCUGCCUGCAUGCUGCCCUUCGGCGACGCUGCGGUGGCUGCUCAAUGCCGGAGAAUCGCAUGCAGCAGCACCGCCAAGAGCACCGCUCACUUCACCACGUGCAUCGCAUGCUGCAGCUGCUGCGCCUCCAGCGAACCAGUGCUGCCGAACGAGGUCACGUGGGCUACUCUUUCCCUAGAAAGAGUACGCGCGCGUGGCCAGGAAGUUUAUGUUAUCGCUUUUGCUUUCGUGAUCCGUCACUUUUUGUUCUACUACUUCUUUAAUAUAUCAAUAAACAUAGUUUUGAUUGUCUA